GGGUUGUAUGAAGGAGAGAAGGUGGGCAGUCCCCUUAAUUAGGAAGGAAUGGUCUCUGGGGCCUAUAUGACACAUAUGUCAUAAGGCAUGGCUCCUACCUCGUGGCCUCUAAACAGAGUCUAAGUGUUAA